rnacentral:sRNA from 1 species
UACGAACCUCUUAAGGAUGAUGGGCCUUUACACAAUUUACCCAAUUCAAUGGGCAUGUUAGAGCAACCUUAAUAGUAGGCUCUUAAUUUUAUCUCUCGACUAUUAUGAUGAAUUGUUUUAUUGAAAAAAAUUAUAGCUAAGAGUUUUUGUAAUGGUUUGAAGCUCUUAAACCUUCUUUUAUCUCUUAGAAACACUUCUAAACUAUUCACAUAUCAUUUUGAUUAAUUAUACCUAAGAGUUAUAGUAAGAGACUUGCAAUAAGGAUGGUCUUACAACUUUAAAUGCCUUUUAUUUAUUGCCAUUAGAUAUUAGAAUUCAAAAUUAACCAAAUUUAACGAGUUAAAAAAAUUUCAAAAGAUUCUUUAAACGUUAGUUUCACUUUCAUU